rnacentral:rRNA from 1 species
GAUGAACGCUGGCGGCGUGCCUAAUACAUGCAAGUCGAGCGAACGGACGAGAAGCUUGCUUCUCUGAUGUUAGCGGCGGACGGGUGAGUAACACGUGGAUAACCUACCUAUAAGACUGGGAUAACUUCGGGAAACCGGGGCUAAUACCGGAUAAUAUUUUGAACCGCAUGGUUCAAUAGUGAAAGACGGUCUUGCUGUCACUUAUAGAUGGAUCCGCGCUGCAUUAGCUAGUUGGUAAGGUAACGGCUUACCAAGGCAACGAUGCAUAGCCGACCUGAGAGGGUGAUCGGCCACACUGGAACUGAGACACGGUCCAGACUCCUACGGGAGGCAGCAGUAGGGAAUCUUCCGCAAUGGGCGAAAGCCUGACGGAGCAACGCCGCGUGAGUGAUGAAGGUCUUCGGAUCGUAAAACUCUGUUAUUAGGGAAGAACAUAUGUGUAAGUAACUGUGCACAUCUUGACGGUACCUAAUCAGAAAGCCACGGCUAACUACGUG